GUUUGCAGGUGACUUUACUUAAAAACGACGUAUCUAAUUUAUAUCACUUCUAAACGACGUUGCAGUUUAUUGGAAUAUUUACUUUUGAUAUUUACGUACCGGUAUGUUAAAAAUCCACGAUCGGCUUUAUACACGCAGGAAUGGGAUGUAGGUCAGGUUUGAGGUGCGGUAGCUCCCAGGAUCGAUCACCCUCUGUAGACUCCCGUCCCAAUCAGUACUCCACGACUGGUGGUGUGUUCAAGGAAAUGAAAGUAACGCUUGACAGCGUUUGGUGUGUACCCGUCAGAUGACACUGGUGGAAACGGAAAUACCAAAUUGAUCCAAUGAAGGGCCAGGGGGAUCGAUCCUGAAACCUACCACUGCACUUGAUACUUUAUUCUAAUUACCGAAUAACCAUUGCUGCACUGCAGUACAAAUCAUUUUACUCGUUGUUUCCUACCCAUACUUUAUUUUUUAAUUAAGUUGUAUGCGUAUGGCUUGUCGAUUUAGAGUGGACGGUGGGGGUGGAGCUGUGAAUUGAAAAUUGGCGCAAACGAUGUAUGGGUUACGCAAAGACAAAUGUGUGUUUUUCAUUACGUGUUUACAUCACCCGUCAUAGAGUAUGGGUAGAAAGCACAACGAGAAAAACGAUUUGUAAAUAAUGUUUUACAUGUAAUGCGCGAACGAAAAAUAGGUGAUCUGCGCGUGCAACGCGCGAACGAAACUAUCGUUCUCGCAAUCAAUUUUCAAGGGCCUGUUUAACCAUCUUGUUUUAAUACAAAUCGUACAUCAC